rnacentral:lncRNA from 1 species
AAAAUUUUGGCAGUGCCCAAGAAACAAAAGAUUGAAGCUAUCAAUUCAUCCUGAUAUGAUACGUCUCUUUGUAUUGCUGUUCAUAGCAUACUCCUAAUAUAGACUUUGAAGAAGAAUGACAGAGAAGACAGGGAACAGAUAGAGGCCAGAGAACUGGAUACCAGGGUUGAUAAGGUCUGCAGAUGGAUUGGCUUGGUGUGUGCGUGUCUUGUGCCCAAAGAACAGGACACAGGACUCCUGCUGCUGCAUUCAUCCACCACUGCUGAGUUUGGUGAAGCGAAUAAUUUUGUGUAGGUGGUCUCAGGUUGGGUCCAUCACUGCAAGAUGAGGUGGUCCAGAAUUUGAACUGGGCAUGUUAGAUUUGACCCGAGCUGGACUGCUGAAAAUUUUCAUGUGGAGCCAUCUUAGUGCUUCUCCAUUACUCUUCUCUGAUAUGUGCUACUAUGGUGGCAGUGAGAUACUGCUGCAUGGCAGGAAACAUAACCGAGUUAGAUUUGAUUAAGAGAAAAACUAAUAAAUCAAAGUCAGAAGUUGAAAGAAUAAGCCUUCUAUAAGGAUAAGAAGAAGAAUGUCUUCUUUCCAACAAGAAAGAAGAAGAGUGACAGAGAGAAGAAAAUUCUGAGUUUGACCUCUAUUGUCUUGUACAUCAGCAAGUCCUACAUCAAUUUUUCCGCUCUGCUUGAUUUGAGUCAUAAGCAAUACUAUUUAUUUGUUACUGAAGCCUUAUUUUCAGAUGCAAAUAGCAACACAAUCUAAAUUAUUUAGGCCACAAUUAAUUGCAUGUGACAACAAUUUAAUACCUAUUCAAUCAGCUCUCACUCUGGCUUAGAAUCAACACAAGGGAUGCUGUACUUCUUAACACUAUCACUUCAGCAUGCAUGAGUUUGAAAUGUGGUUGCUAUUGGCAUAUGGCAUGGUGUGAUGAGCUCAGAGGUUUUGGUUUUGGACUUGGUCGAGGCAUGCAGGUACGAGGCAGCAGGAGAAGAAAUACCAUGAUCUUGGCGUUUUCUUUGAGAAGGAGAGGCCAAUCCUGCAGACUGAGAGGUCACUGACGAGCAAGACGACGAGAAGAAAAAGGUUAAACAAGAGAUUACAACCCCCGCCUGCUCCUUCUGCAGCCACGCGUGCCUCCCUCUCUGUCUCUCCCUCUCCUAUCUUACCCAGAGGAAAUGACGAAAGGUGUUCCACAGGAGCCUCAGACAAGGCGCUGUCCUCUGAGACGAGCAAAAAGCCAUCACGAGCUUCUGAACAAUCACAAGCCGCCCUAUUCAGGUUGCAGAAACAGAGAGAGAGAGAGA